rnacentral:rRNA from 1 species
UACGGAGGGGGCUAGCGUUGUUCGGAAUUACUGGGCGUAAAGCGUGCGUAGACGGUUUCGUAAGUCGGGUGUGAAAUCCCCGGGCUCAACCUGGGAAUUGCAUUCGAAACUGCGAGGCUAGGGUACGGAAGAGGGAAGCGGAAUUUCUGGUGUAGCGGUGAAAUGCGUAGAUAUCAGAAGGAACAUCAGUGGCGAAAGCGGCUUCCUGGUCCAGUACCGACGUUCAGGCACGAAAGCGUGGGGAGCAAACAGG